AGAGUUUGAUCCUGGCUCAGAUUGAACGCUGGCGGUAUGCUUAACACAUGCAAGUCGAACGGAGACGAUACUAGCUUGCUAGUAGGCGUCGAGUGGCGGACGGGUGAGUAACGCGUAGGAAUCUACCUGAUAGUGGGGGAUAGCCCGAAGAAAUUCGGAUUAAUACCGCAUAAUCUAUUCGUAGUAAAGUGGGGGACUUUCGAGCCUCACGCUAUCAGAUGAGCCCGCACUUGAUUAGUUUGUUGGUAGGGUAAUGGCCUACCAAGACUAUGAUCAAUAGCUGAUUUGAGAGGAUGAUCAGCCACAUUGGGACUGAGACACGGCCCAAACUCCUACGGGAGGCAGCAGUGGGGAAUCUUGCACAAUGGAGGAAACUCUGAUGCAGCGAUGCCGCGUGAGUGAAGAAGGCCUUUGGGUUGUAAAGCUCUUUCGUCGGGGAAGAAAAUGACUGUACCCGAAUAAGAAGGUCCGGCUAACUUCGUGCCAGCAGCCGCGGUAAUACGAAGGGACCUAGCGUAGUUCGGAAUUACUGGGCUUAAAGAGUUCGUAGGUGGUUGAAAAAGUUGGUGGUGAAAUCCCAGAGCUUAACUCUGGAACUGCCAUCAAAACUUUUCAGCUAGAGUAUGAUAGAGGAAAGCAGAAUUUCUAGUGUAGAGGUGAAAUUCGUAGAUAUUAGAAAGAAUACCAAUUGCGAAGGCAGCUUUCUGGAUCAUUACUGACACUGAGGAACGAAAGCAUGGGUAGCGAAGAGGAUUAGAUACCCUCGUAGUCCAUGCCGUA
rnacentral:rRNA from 1 species